CCAGGAACCAAUUAGAUCAUGUAUAUACAUUGUAAUAAAUUUUCAAAAAAUAUCAGAUUUUCUAAGAAGAUCUUUUCUUGCAGGCUAUUAAGAAAACAUGAAACGAAACAAGAUGAAAUGAAUAUUUAUUAAAUUACAGAUUGUGAUACAAAUUUAAUUAUGAUACAAAUUUAUCUAUUGUGUGGAUAUUACAAAACGUUUAUAGGAUGUACAAAAUACUCUGCAAUGUACCAACAUCUGUCAUCAUAAUCAUAUCUUCAAGGUUGUAAAAGUAAUAUCGCAGAGAUCUGUAAAAAAUAUACUUUCAUUGUUAACUUAGAGGGAAAGAAGUAUUCUUUUGUGUAGCAGUGGGAUGGAUUUACUUGGGGGUAUUGGGGGAGGCGGUUCUUUGUGAAAUAAAGUAUUGGGUCUUUAUGACUUUAUAGACAACUUUGAUUUCCAAAAAUUGACAUGCCUGUCUGGGGUCCAUAGUGAUGAUGCAUCCUACCUCAGUUGUUGGUCAGGCCCUAACCUGCCAUCAGGCCUAUAAAUAAAUAAAUAGGCCUGAAACAAACCUAAACAAAAGCCCAUGCCUUACAACCGUAUUUCAGUUGUAAAUCUGGUUGGUCUACGAGACAAAAGAUUUUUCAAUCUGUCAUUUGAUUGGUUGGUGUUAAUUAGAUUAUACUGUUGUUGUUGAUAUAUUUUAUAGUGAUCACAACUAUAAUCAGAUUGUUGUUGUCGUUGUGCGAAAUUUUAAUUUCUCCUGUGACAUUUUGAUUGGAUACUAAAUAUAAACUUUGUUGUGGGUGGAAAGUGAUUGGAUUAAGAUUUGUGUCAGGUUAUUAUCCGUAUAAUACAGCCCAAUCUCAGGUUAGACCAGCCCGGGCUUAGCGACCCUCAUACCACAUCAAGUUAUAUGCAUGAGGGAAAGUAGGUUGUUUCGACUAUUAAUUCC